rnacentral:rRNA from 1 species
UACGAAGGGGGAUAGCGUUGUUCGGAAUCACUGGGCGUAAAGCGCACGCAGGCGGAUUUAUAAGUCAGGGGUGAAAUGCCGUGGCUCAACCUCGGAAUUGCCCUUGAUACUGUCUAUCUUGAGUCCGGGAGAGGUGAGUGGAAUUCCUAGUGUAGAGGUGAAAUUCGUAGAGAUUAGGAAGAACACCAGUGGCGAAGGCGGCUCACUGGCUCGAUACUGACGAUGAGGUGCGAAAGAGUGGGGAGCAAACAGG